rnacentral:rRNA from 1 species
UGGGGAAUAUUGCGCAAUGGGCGAAAGCCUGACGCAGCGACGCCGCGUGAGGGAUGAAGGUUUUCGGAUCGUAAACCUCUGUCAGAAGGGAAGAAACCGCACUGUGCUAAUCAGCAGUGCCUUGACGGUACCUUCAAAGGAAGCACCGGCUAACUCCGUGCCAGCAGCCGCGGUAAUACGGAGGGUGCAAGCGUUAAUCGGAAUUACUGAGCGUAAAGCGCACGUAGGCUGCUUUGUAAGUCAGGGGUGAAAUCCCACGGCUCAACCGUGGAACUGCCUUUGAUACUGCUUAGCUUGAAUCCGGGAGAGGGUGGCGGAAUUCCAGGUGUAGGAGUGAAAUCCGUAGAUAUCUGGAGGAACAUCAGUGGCGAAGGCGGCCACCUGGACCGGUAUUGACGCUGAGGUGCGAAAGCGUGGGGAGCAAACAGG